GACGAACGCUGGCGGCGUGCUUAACACAUGCAAGUCGAACGGAAAGGCCCUGCUUUUGUGGGGUGCUCGAGUGGCGAACGGGUGAGUAACACGUGAGUAACCUGCCCUUGACUUUGGGAUAACUUCAGGAAACUGGGGCUAAUACCGGAUAGGAGCUCCUGCUGCAUGGUGGGGGUUGGAAAGUUUCGGCGGUUGGGGAUGGACUCGCGGCUUAUCAGCUUGUUGGUGGGGUAGUGGCUUACCAAGGCUUUGACGGGUAGCCGGCCUGAGAGGGUGACCGGCCACAUUGGGAAUGAGAGAAGGACCAGACUCCUACGGGAGGCAGCAGUCGGGAAGAUGGCACAAUGGGCGGAAGCCGGAGGCAGCAACGCCGCGUGCGGGAUGACGGGCUUCGGGUUGUAAACAGCUUUCGCAUGUGACGAAGCGGGAGUGACGGUAAUGGGUAAAGAAGCACCGGCUAACUACGUG
rnacentral:rRNA from 1 species